AAUGAACGCUGGCGGCGUGGAUUAGGCAUGCAAGUCGUGCGGAAAGGCUCCUUCGGGAGUACUCGAGCGGCGAAAGGGAGAGUAACGCGUGGAUAUCUACCCCCUGGCCUGGGAUAGCGGCGGGAAACUGCCGGUAAUACCAGAUAAUAUCUGCGGAUCAAAGGUGUGAUUCCGCCGGGGGAUGAGUCCGCGUCCUAUUAGCUAGUUGGGGAGGUAACGGCCCACCAAGGCUGAGAUGGGUACCGGGUGUGAGAGCAUGGCCCGGCUCACUGGGACUGAGACACUGCCCAGACACCUACGGGUGGCUGCAGUCGAGAAUCUUCGGCAAUGGGCGCAAGCCUGACCGAGCGACGCCGCGUGCGGGAUGAAGGCCUUCGGGUUGUAAACCGCUGUCAGAGGGGAGGAAAUGCAUGGGGGUUCUCCCUCAUGUUUGACCUAUCCUCAGAGGAAGUACGGGCUAAGUUCGUGCCAGCAGCCGCCGUAA
rnacentral:rRNA from 1 species